rnacentral:rRNA from 1 species
UGCAGUCGACGGGCUUGGGGGCUUGCUCCCGGGUUAGUGGCGAACGGGUGAGUAAUAUAUCGGAACAUAUCCGGAAGUGGGGGAUAACGUAGCGAAAGUUACGCUAAUACCGCAUAUGCCCUGAGGGGGAAAGGGGGGGAUCGCAAGACCUCUCGCUUUCGGAGUGGCCGAUACCGGAUUAGCUAGAUGGUGAGGUAAAGGCUCACCAUGGCGACGAUCCGUAGCGGGUCUGAGAGGACGACCCGCCACACUGGAACUGAGACACGGUCCAGACUCCUACGGGAGGCAGCAGUGGGGAAUUUUGGACAAUGGGCGCAAGCCUGAUCCAGCCAUACCGCGUGAGUGAAGAAGGCCUUCGGGUUGUAAAGCUCUUUCAGCCGGAAAGAAAUUGCUUCUAUUAAUACUAGGGGUAGAUGACGGUACCGGAAGAAGAAGCACCGGCUAACUACGUGCCAGCAGCCGCGGUAAUACGUAGGGUGCGAGCGUUAAUCGGAAUUACUGGGCGUAAAGCGUGCGCAGGCGGUUUGGUAAGACAGAUGUGAAAUCCCCGGGCUUAACCUGGGAACUGCAUUUGUGACUGCCAGACUAGAGUGUAGCAGAGGGGGGUAGAAUUCCACGUGUAGCAGUGAAAUGCGUAGAGAUGUGGAGGAAUACCGAUGGCGAA